GUAGGUGAACCUGCGGAAGGAUCAUUCAUAAUAAGUGUUUAUGGCACUUCUUAAAUCCAUAUCCAUUUUGUGUGCAAUGUUAGCCGUUUUCUUUAUGAAAGCGGCCAAACAUCAACUUAUUUUUUAACUGUCUGUCUGAAAACUAUUAUGGAUAAACAAUUCAAAUACAAUUUUCAACAACGGAUUUCUUGGCUCUC
rnacentral:misc_RNA from 1 species